ensembl:misc_RNA
UUAACAGCCCAUGAGAUAGGGGUCUUCUACCUGUUGAACUGGCCCACUGUAGGUGUGAGCAGUGCAAGCUUUUCCAGUGCUCUGCCAGUGUGCCUCAACUGUCACUUGGAGGGAGCACAUCUGGAAUGGGAGGAGAGUUCAUUCUCCAUAUCUAUUCAACCCUUGGCCUUU